UCAAUGCAGCAGUGAUAAACUCGUAACGGAAAAUAAGCCAGGCGUGUUUUUAUUUCCCACGUUUGCGUGACAGAUAGGCCACACGCACGCACGGACACACACGGAACUCACGCACGGACACACGCGCGCACACCAGCGCGCACCGGCGGGCUGACAGCGUGGCUCUCGGACGCCCCGACUCGUUCCCCGGACAACGCCGAAACACCGAGCCGGCAUCACGCGCUUUCUUUACAAGCGUCUAAGAGCGGUCGCUCUGUCUCGAGCAGCGGCCUCACUGCGCCCGCCCGCACCGCGAGCCCGCCGGCGUUCCGCUCCAAACCAACACGAGAGGAGCCCCGACUCUGCCGCCGCUGCGCAACGCCAAGCGGCGGAGUCAAAUGAGAAAUCACCGAGGCGCAAUGUCUGCUGCAAGGGAGACCUGGAAGAUCGUGCAAGCAGGAGCGCUGCAAUUACGUAUUUGUGUAUGUCCACUGCCUUCCCCCGUGUGUCAAUUAGCACACGGUGCCAUUUCAUUAUCACUUUACCGUAUGAAAAAAUAUAAAUAUAUAUGGGAAGUAAAAUUCAGCUCAAGCCCUUCCCUUCUGCCUGCGUAGUCUACGUGCUCACAGCCUCCCUCCUGCUCCAAGUGGCUCCCUCUGCCCUCUCUCUCUCUGCUCCCCGUCUGAGUCUACAACCUCGACGUUCAGAGCCAGCGGGGUGGAGGCGGGGGAGGAAGGAUCAUCGUCACUGGCAGCCGCGAAGCAGUGACGGAAAUUCCACACUCCCGCGACGGUGGCAAGUCUACCCACGGGUGGGCCGCUCCGCCUACAACCGUAAACCCUUGAGCGAGCGACGUCGACGGGAUGCGCAGACGCGUCGUGACCGGCGACGUUGGCGAGAGCC